rnacentral:siRNA from 1 species
CCAAAACUACAAUACACUAUU